AUGUCUCGAGCUGUGUUUUACAAGCUAUGCAUUAGGCUCAGGCAGAAAAAGUUGUUAAGUGAUACACUACAUGUUUCAGUAGAGGAACAAGUAGCAAUGUUCCUAUACAAGAUCGGUCAGCAUCACACAAAUUCAUCCAUUGGAUUUUGGUUCUGGCGAUCUAGUGAAACAGUGAGCAGAUAUUUCAAUAUUGUUCUUCGUGCGAUGGGGGAGUUAGCUCGUGAUCUCAUUUACGUUAGAUCAACGGACACACACACAAAAAUCACUAGCAGCCCGGACAGAUUCUACCCGUAUUUUGAGGGAUGCAUAGGGGCACUAGAUGGCACUCAUGUUAAGGCUUGUGUUCCUGCCCACAUGGUCGACGAGUUUAGGGGUCGCAAGUCAUACCCCUCCCAAAAUGUGCUAGCAGUUGUUGACUUCGACCUUCGAUUCACAUAUGUUCUAGCUGGUUGGGAGGGCUCUGCCCAUGAUUCUCUUGUGCUAAAAGAUGCCCUCACACGUCCAGGGGGAUUAAAAAUACCCGAAGGGAAAUAUUUCUUGGCUGAUGCUGGGUAUGCUGCGAGGCCGGGGAUAUUACCUCCUUAUCGUGGUGUGCGCUACCACCUAAAUGAAUUUGCUGGAGACCGUGACCCAAUUGCCCCAAAAGAAUUGUUCAACCACCGCCAUUCAUCACUUAGGACCACAGUUGAACGGGCAUUUGGGACUCUUAAGAGUCGCUUCAAGAUUCUUACUCAAAGGCCCUUCAUACCUAUAAAAUCUCAGAUUAAAGUGGUAGUUGCUUGUUGUGCUUUGCACAAUUGGAUAUUAGAAAAUGGUCCAGAUGAUUAUGUUGUGGAUGAGGCGACAUGGUAUGCCAACCUCCCUAGGAGUAGUGGGCGGGUUCGUGAUCAAGAGGCUGACAUACGUGAGUGGGCUGCCAAGCGAGAUUUAAUCGCUCAGCAAAUGUGGACAGAUAGAGAGAGUGCACGUGACAAUGAGGCUGAUGCUAUCCCAGCUUAG
rnacentral:rRNA from 1 species